rnacentral:rRNA from 1 species
UACAGAGGGUGCGAGCGUUAAUCGGAAUUACUGGGCGUAAAGCGCACGUAGGCGGUUUGUUAAGUCUGUCGUGAAAGCCCCGGGCUCAACCUGGGAAUGGCGAUGGAUACUGGCGAGCUAGAGUACGGUAGAGGAGAGUGGAAUUCCCGGUGUAGCAGUGAAAUGCGUAGAGAUCAGGAGGAACACCGGUGGCGAAGGCGGGUCUCUGGGCCGAUACUGACGCUGAGGAGCGAAAGCGUGGGGAGCGAACAGG